ACCAGUGACAGAAAUAUCUUCAUCAUCGUUUAUGACCAAAACUUCUAUAUUACUUUACUAUUGGGGGGACUAAGGAUCAUGAAUGCUUUCUGAAUAUUUAUAAAUACCACGACGAAAUGCGUGAUUUUAUUAUAUUGAGAAAAAUACUUUCUUAGGUAAAUUUAUUUAUCUUUUAAUAUCAGCUGUUUGUUUUCAACAUGGAAAAAGUUUAGUUUUAUGUAUAAUGUUGUUUUGAGUAGAGGUAGAGAUGUGGAACUUUGAACUUGAGAGAGGUGAUUUAGGGUAUUUGGAAGAAAUUUCUAAGUGGCAAAGCAUUCAAGAGGUGAUUUGGGUGCUGUUAAAGGUAUUCCAUUUUAUAAGUGAAGGAGGGCAUAAGAGUUUGGAAAAUUCGCAGCCUGACAAUGUGAUAGAAAAGAAAAAUCCCAUUUUCUGAGGAGAAAUUCAAGCCAGCUGCGGAAAUUUGCAUUAAGUAACGAGGAGCUGAAUGUUAAUCCCCAAGACAACGGGGAAAAUGUCUCCAGGGUAUGACAGAGGUCUUCAUGGCAGCCCCUCCCAUCACAGGCACAGAGGCCUAGGAGGAAAUAAAGGUUUUCUGGGCCAAGCCCAGGUUUCCUGUGCUGUGUGCAAUCUAGGGACUUGGUUCCAUGAAUCCCAGCUGCUCCAGCUGUGAAUAAAAGGGGACAAGGCAAAGCUAGGGCCAUGGCUUCAGUGGGUACAAGCCCCAGUCUUUGGCAGCUUUCAUGUGGUGUUUAGCCUGAGGGUACACAGAAGUAAAGAAUUUAGGUUUGGGAACCUCCGCCUA
rnacentral:lncRNA from 1 species